GGGCGCUGGUGGUGGCGGUGGCCGUGAGGAGAGAGGUCAGCGGGGUGCCUUCGUUGCAUUGUCUGAGAGAAAAGGCAUCUCAAGGUGGUGUCCAUCAUGUUCUCUUUCAACAUGUUCAAUCACCCAAUUCACAGGGUCUUCCAAAACCGCUUCUCCACACAGUACCGCUGCUUCCCUGUGUCCAUGCUAGCAGGGCCUAAUGACAGGUCAGAUGUGGAGAAGGGAGGGAAGAUAAUUAUGAUGCCCUCAGCCCUGGACCAACUCAGCCAACUUAACAUUACCUAUCCCAUGCUGUUCAAACUGACCAGUAAGAAUUCGGACCGCAUGACACACUGUGGCAUGCUGGAGUUUGUGACUGAUGAUCUGCUACCUCUCACACUGGAUGAUGCAGAACUUGCUCUUGGAAGAAGGCAGCCUGGUCCAGGUGGAGAGUGUCAACCUUCAAGUGGCCACCUACUGCAAAUUCCAGCCUCAGAGCCAUGACGUCCCGGACAUCACCAACCCCAAAGCCAUAUUAGAAAACACAGUUAGGAACUUUUCCCGUCUGACCACUGGGGAUGUGAUUGCCAUCAACUAUAAUGAAAAGAUCUACAAACUCGAACUGUGUGUGAUGGAAACCAAACCUGACAAGGCAGUGUCCAUCACUGAGCGUGACAUGAACAUGGACUUUGAUGCUCCCCUGGGCUACAAAGAACCCGAAAGACAAGUCCAGCAUGAGAAGUCGACAGAAGGUGAAGCCGAUCACAGUAGCUAUGCUGGAGAGCUGGGCUUCCGCGCCUUCUCCGGCUCUGCCAAUAGACUGGAUGGAAAGAAGAAAGGGGUGGAGCCCAGUCCUUCCCCAGUCAAGCCUGGAGAUAUUAAAAGAGGAAUUCCCAAUUAUGAAUUUAAACUUGGUAAGAUAACUUUCAUCAGAAAUGCACGUCUCCUUGUCAAAAAGGUUGAAGAGGAUGAAGCUGGAGGCAGAUUCAUCACUUUCUCUGGAGGACAGUUGUUGCAUAAAAAGGGAAGAAAGCCCUAAAUGAGGACUGUUGGAUGGUUGGAAAAUAAUAAAAGAAUUAAUUAC